rnacentral:rRNA from 1 species
CGACCCCAGGUCAGGCGGGGCUACCCGCUGA